rnacentral:rRNA from 1 species
GACGGAGGAUGCAAGCGUUAUCCGGAAUGAUUGGGCGUAAAGCGUCCGCAGGUGGCAGUUCAAGUCUGCUGUCAAAGAGUGGGGCUUAACCCUGCAAAGGCAGUGGAAACUGAAAGGCUAGAGAGCCGUAGGGGUAGAGGGAAUUCCCGGUGUAGCGGUGAAAUGCGUAGAUAUCAAGAGGAACACCAGUAGCGAAGGCGAGUCCCUGGACGAUACCUGACACUGAGGCACGAAAGCCAAGGGAGCAAACAGG